rnacentral:rRNA from 1 species
UGGGGAAUAUUGCACAAUGGAGGGAACUCUGAUGCAGCAACGCCGCGUGCGGGAUGACGGCCUUCGGGUUGUAAACCGCUUUCAGCCAUGACGAAGCUUUUGUGACGGUAGUGGUAGAAGAAGCACCGGCUAACUACGUGCCAGCAGCCGCGGUGAUACGUAGGGUGCGAGCGUUGUCCGGAAUUAUUGGGCGUAAAGAGCUUGUAGGCGGUUUGUCGCGUCGAUAGUGUAAACACGCAGCUUAACUGUGUGCCUGCUGUCGAUACGGGCUGACUAGAGGAGGGUAGGGGGGAAUGGAAUUCCCGGUGGAGCGGUGGAAUGCGCAGAUAUCGGGAGGAAAACCAGUGGCGAAGGCGGUUCUCUGGGCCUUUCCUGACGCUGAGAAGCGAAAGCGUGGGUAGCAAACAGG